CGAUGGCGACCGGCGCACGGGUGAGUAACACGUAUCCAACCUGCCGAUGACUCGGGGAUAGCCUUUCGAAAGAAAGAUUAAUACCCGAUGGCAUAGUUCUUCCGCAUGGUGGAACUAUUAAAGAAUUUCGGUCAUCGAUGGGGAUGCGUUCCAUUAGGUUGUUGGCGGGGUAACGGCCCACCAAGCCUUCGAUGGAUAGGGGUUCUGAGAGGAAGGUCCCCCACAUUGGAACUGAGACACGGUCCAAACUCCUACGGGAGGCAGCAUG
rnacentral:rRNA from 1 species